rnacentral:rRNA from 1 species
UACGUAGGGUGCAAGCGUUGUCCGGAAUUAUUGGGCGUAAAGAGCUCGUAGGCGGUUCGUCGCGUCGGCUGUGAAAUCCCGAGGCUCAACCUCGGGUCUGCAGUCGAUACGGGCGGACUGGAGUUCGGCAGGGGAGACUGGAAUUCCUGGUGUAGCGGUGGAAUGCGCAGAUAUCAGGAGGAACACCAAUGGCGAAGGCAGAUCUCUGGGCCGUAACUGACGCUGAGGAGCGAAAGCGUGGGGAGCAAACAGGA